AAAGUCGUAACAAGGUAACCGUAGGUGAACCUGCGGUUGGAUCAUUAAAAAAACAGGACGUCCGGAAGGACAAUGAAAGUCGAGGUUCACUCGUGCUUUCUUUGUUCCGGGUGUUUAAACCUCUUGCAUGGGAUUUGUGCAAAACGAAUUCCGUGCUCGAAUGGUUUUAAACCAUUAUGUGAACUGUAAUCGUCUUUGGUGGGGAGGCUGGAAGAGUGGUGAAACCAUGCAUUGGUUUUCCCACGUCCUGCCCGUCCGGUUUCAGGCGUUUGCCAUGCAGACCGUGGACAACCCACCGACUGAUUUUUUUCUACCACAUUUUUUUCUUUAUUUCUGUCUCAUGUUUAUGAUUUUUCUUGAAUCAAAAAUACAACUUUUGGCAACGGAUCUCUUGGCUCUC
rnacentral:misc_RNA from 1 species